AGUGAACGCUGGCGGCGUGCUUAACACAUGCAAGUCGAACGAGAACGGAAUAUAGCUUGCUAUAUUUGUCAGCUAAGUGGCGCACGGGUGAGUAAUGUAUAGAUAACCUGCCCUUAAGAAAGGAAUAACAGUUGGAAACGAAUGCUAAUGCCCUAUAUGCCUUUAAUACAUAAGUAUGCAAGGGAAACGCUUUAGUGCUUAAGGAUGGGUCUGUAUGGUAUCAGCUUGGUGGUGAGGUAAUGGCUCACCAAGGAUAUGACGCCUAACUGGUUUGAGAGGAAGAUCAGUCACACUGGAACUGAGACACGGUCCAGACUCCUACGGGAGGCAGCAGUGGGGAAUAUUGCACAAUGGACGAAAGUCUGAUGCAGCAACGCCGCGUGGAGGAUGACACAUUUCGGUGCGUAAACUCCUUUUAUAUAGGAAGAUAAUGACGGUACUAUAUGAAUAAGCACCGGCUAACUCCGUGCCAGCAGCCGCCGCAG
rnacentral:rRNA from 1 species